rnacentral:rRNA from 1 species
CCCUUAGAUGUUCUGGGCUGCACGCGUGCUACAAUGGCGCUUGCAACAAGUCUUGCCAACCCGAUAGGGUGAGCGGAUCUUUGAAGAGGCGUCGUGAUCGGGACAGUUGAUUGCAAUUAUUCGACUCGAACGAGGAAUUCCUUGUAAUCGCGAUUCAUCAUAUCGCGCUGAAUACGUCCCUGCCCUUUGUACACCCCGCCCGUCGCUCCUACCGAUUGAGCGAUCCGGUGAAUGUUUUGGACUGGCGUCAGAAGCGGUUCGCUCCUGACACUACGAAAUUUUGUAAACCUUAUCGCUUAGAGGAAGGAAAAGUCGUAACA